GGGUUGUGAGGUUAAGCGACUAAGCGUACACGGUGGAUGCCCUGGCAGUCAGAGGCGAUGAAGGACGUGCUAAUCUGCGAUAAGCGUCGGUAAGGUGAUAUGAACCGUUAUAACCGGCGAUUUCCGAAUGGGGAAACCCAGUGUGUUUCGACACACUAUCAUUAACUGAAUCCAUAGGUUAAUGAGGCGAACCGGGGGAACUGAAACAUCUAAGUACCCCGAGGAAAAGAAAUCAACCGAGAUUCCCCCAGUAGCGGCGAGCGAACGGGGAGGAGCCCAGAGCCUGAAUCAGUGUGUGUGUUAGUGGAAGCGUCUGGAAAGGCGCGCGAUACAGGGUGACAGCCCCGUACACAAAAAUGCACAUGCUGUGAGCUCGAUGAGUAGGGCGGGACACGUGGUAUCCUGUCUGAAUAUGGGGGGACCAUCCUCCAAGGCUAAAUACUCCUGACUGACCGAUAGUGAACCAGUACCGUGAGGGAAAGGCGAAAAGAACCCCGGCGAGGGGAGUGAAAAAGAACCUGAAACCGUGUACGUACAAGCAGUGGGAGCACGCUUAGGCGUGUGACUGCGUACCUUUUGUAUAAUGGGUCAGCGACUUAUAUUCUGUAGCAAGGUUAACCGAAUAGGGGAGCCGAAGGGAAACCGAGUCUUAACUGGGCGUUAAGUUGCAGGGUAUAGACCCGAAACCCGGUGAUCUAGCCAUGGGCAGGUUGAAGGUUGGGUAACACUAACUGGAGGACCGAACCGACUAAUGUUGAAAAAUUAGCGGAUGACUUGUGGCUGGGGGUGAAAGGCCAAUCAAACCGGGAGAUAGCUGGUUCUCCCCGAAAGCUAUUUAGGUAGCGCCUCGUGAAUUCAUCUCCGGGGGUAGAGCACUGUUUCGGCAAGGGGGUCAUCCCGACUUACCAACCCGAUGCAAACUGCGAAUACCGGAGAAUGUUAUCACGGGAGACACACGGCGGGUGCUAACGUCCGUCGUGAAGAGGGAAACAACCCAGACCGCCAGCUAAGGUCCCAAAGUCAUGGUUAAGUGGGAAACGAUGUGGGAAGGCCCAGACAGCCAGGAUGUUGGCUUAGAAGCAGCCAUCAUUUAAAGAAAGCGUAAUAGCUCACUGGUCGAGUCGGCCUGCGCGGAAGAUGUAACGGGGCUAAACCAUGCACCGAAGCUGCGGCAGCGACGCUUAUGCGUUGUUGGGUAGGGGAGCGUUCUGUAAGCCUGUGAAGGUGUGCUGUGAGGCAUGCUGGAGGUAUCAGAAGUGCGAAUGCUGACAUAAGUAACGAUAAAGCGGGUGAAAAGCCCGCUCGCCGGAAGACCAAGGGUUCCUGUCCAACGUUAAUCGGGGCAGGGUGAGUCGACCCCUAAGGCGAGGCCGAAAGGCGUAGUCGAUGGGAAACAGGUUAAUAUUCCUGUACUUGGUGUUACUGCGAAGGGGGGACGGAGAAGGCUAUGUUGGCCGGGCGACGGUUGUCCCGGUUUAAGCGUGUAGGCUGGUUUUCCAGGCAAAUCCGGAAAAUCAAGGCUGAGGCGUGAUGACGAGGCACUACGGUGCUGAAGCAACAAAUGCCCUGCUUCCAGGAAAAGCCUCUAAGCAUCAGGUAACAUCAAAUCGUACCCCAAACCGACACAGGUGGUCAGGUAGAGAAUACCAAGGCGCUUGAGAGAACUCGGGUGAAGGAACUAGGCAAAAUGGUGCCGUAACUUCGGGAGAAGGCACGCUGAUAUGUAGGUGAAGCGACUUGCUCGUGGAGCUGAAAUCAGUCGAAGAUACCAGCUGGCUGCAACUGUUUAUUAAAAACACAGCACUGUGCAAACACGAAAGUGGACGUAUACGGUGUGACGCCUGCCCGGUGCCGGAAGGUUAAUUGAUGGGGUCAGCGCAAGCGAAGCUCUUGAUCGAAGCCCCGGUAAACGGCGGCCGUAACUAUAACGGUCCUAAGGUAGCGAAAUUCCUUGUCGGGUAAGUUCCGACCUGCACGAAUGGCGUAAUGAUGGCCAGGCUGUCUCCACCCGAGACUCAGUGAAAUUGAACUCGCUGUGAAGAUGCAGUGUACCCGCGGCAAGACGGAAAGACCCCGUGAACCUUUACUAUAGCUUGACACUGAACAUUGAGCCUUGAUGUGUAGGAUAGGUGGGAGGCUUUGAAGUGUGGACGCCAGUCUGCAUGGAGCCGACCUUGAAAUACCACCCUUUAAUGUUUGAUGUUCUAACGUUGACCCGUGAUCCGGGUUGCGGACAGUGUCUGGUGGGUAGUUUGACUGGGGCGGUCUCCUCCUAAAGAGUAACGGAGGAGCACGAAGGUUGGCUAAUCCUGGUCGGACAUCAGGAGGUUAGUGCAAUGGCAUAAGCCAGCUUGACUGCGAGCGUGACGGCGCGAGCAGGUGCGAAAGCAGGUCAUAGUGAUCCGGUGGUUCUGAAUGGAAGGGCCAUCGCUCAACGGAUAAAAGGUACUCCGGGGAUAACAGGCUGAUACCGCCCAAGAGUUCAUAUCGACGGCGGUGUUUGGCACCUCGAUGUCGGCUCAUCACAUCCUGGGGCUGAAGUAGGUCCCAAGGGUAUGGCUGUUCGCCAUUUAAAGUGGUACGCGAGCUGGGUUUAGAACGUCGUGAGACAGUUCGGUCCCUAUCUGCCGUGGGCGCUGGAGAACUGAGGGGGGCUGCUCCUAGUACGAGAGGACCGGAGUGGACGCAUCACUGGUGUUCGGGUUGUCAUGCCAAUGGCACUGCCCGGUAGCUAAAUGCGGAAGAGAUAAGUGCUGAAAGCAUCUAAGCACGAAACUUGCCCCGAGAUGAGUUCUCCCUGACCCUUUAAGGGUCCUGAAGGAACGUUGAAGACGACGACGUUGAUAGGCCGGGUGUGUAAGCGCAGCGAUGCGUUGAGCUAACCGGUACUAAUGAACCGUGAGGCUUAACCUUACAACGCCGAAG
rnacentral:rRNA from 1 species